ACGAAGACUGCGUUUCAAGCACAGAGUUUACCUAAAAACCAAUCUUCUCCCCUUUAACUUAUUUUCCACCAAGUCAAAUGGCAAUUCCUUUUUAAUUAGCCAGGGGUGUUAAAUAACAAAAGCAAGCUGUAUUUUCUUCUUCCUUUCCAGGUGACCAGGAUUUGGAUCAAUAGAUUUUGGCUGUUCUUCUUUCCUGGAGCCAGAAUGACAAGGACCCCAGGGCAGGAUCUGCACGUUGAUUCUAAACAACUUUCUUUACUGGAGGUCACUUGGGGAAAUUUUCAAAGGAACCCCACAUAGCAGUGAAAGACAACACUGACCUUCUGGCUGAUGCCCUUGGCAUAUUAAUAUGUGAAUGUGUAUCACAGGCUAGUUUUUGGGAAAGGACGUGUCAAGGCAUGCUUGUUACUACACAGGGGGGAAUGAGGGCAUCUACCACAGAGGAUUGUCCCUCUUCUAUGUCCCUUACAUCAGUGGCUCUUCUAGGUUUCCUCCUGAGAGUGUCAUCCAGUGGCAGCUUGAAUAUAUUCAAAG
rnacentral:lncRNA from 1 species